UCCAGGGCCGCAGGGCGGCGCUGUUGCAGAACCUGGGAGCCGCGGAGUUUCAAUGUUUGGUGAGUGUUCAGGGAUUUUUAUCGUUAAUUAUCUUCAUAAUCGUAUUAUGUUGCGCAAUUUAUAGUAGACGGGAUGGGAUCAAAAAUUCAUCAAGAGAAGACUGCAUAACAUUUCACAGAUCGCAUUGUCGCGGAAGGAACUUCUCUUGCCUCUGACGUAGAACGAUUCGUCAAAGAGAACACAGAUGGAACAUUUUAACGAAGUCGCCGAUACGCUAGCGAAGCCUCGCUGAGAGAAUGUUGCAGUACUACCAUAAGGUAAGAAGACAGUUAUUUGCAGUGACAUUCUCCAGUCAAUCAACACAUGUAGUUCCCAUGUAUCAAAAUGAAUAUUAAAAGCAGUUGCUUGGUUACGCCCCCCCCAGCGCGAGAAUUUGGAAGAGACCAAGCUAUGAAACCACAGUAUUCUACAACUGCGUAAAGUCGCCGUCUUCCAGGUGCAAAGCAAAACGCAUAGGUUAGAGCCGUGCCUGGAGUAGAUAUACGGAUCAUUUAUAAUUCUCAAUAUAUAGUGAAUU